UACGGAGGGUGCAAGCGUUAUCCGGAUUUACUGGGUUUAAAGGGUGCGUAGGUGGGUAAGUAAGUCAGUGGUGAAAUCUUCGAGCUUAACUCGGAAACUGCCAUUGAUACUAUUUAUCUUGAAUACUCUGGAGGUAAGCGGAAUAUGUCAUGUAGCGGUGAAAUGCUUAGAUAUGACAUAGAACACCAAUUGCGAAGGCAGCUUACUACAUAGUUAUUGACACUGAGGCACGAAAGCGUGGGGAGCGAACAGG
rnacentral:rRNA from 1 species